AUUGAACGCUGGCGGCAUGCCUUACACAUGCAAGUCGAACGGUAACAGCACUUCGGUGGCUGACGAGUGGCGGACGGGUGAGUAAUACAUCGGAACGUGCCCGAUCGUGGGGGAUAACUACUCGAAAGAGUGGCUAAUACCGCAUACGAUCUACGGAUGAAAGCGGGGGAUCGCAAGACCUCGCGCGGACGGAGCGGCCGAUGGCAGAUUAGGUAGUUGGUGGGAUAAAAGCUUACCAAGCCGACGAUCUGUAGCUGGUCUGAGAGGACGACCAGCCACACUGGGACUGAGACACGGCCCAGACUCCUACGGGAGGCAGCAGUGGGGAAUUUUGGACAAUGGGGGAAACCCUGAUCCAGCCAUGCCGCGUGCAGGAUGAAGGCCUCGGUUGUAACUGCUUUGUACGGACGAAAGAACUCUUUCUAAUACAGAGGGUCCAUGACGGUACCGUAAGAAUAAGCACCGGCUAACUACGUGCCAGCAGCCGCGGUAAACU
rnacentral:rRNA from 1 species